AUUGAACGCUGGCGGCAUGCCUUACACAUGCAAGUCGAACGGUAACGGGCCUUCGGGUGCCGACGAGUGGCGAACGGGUGAGUAAUGUAUCGGAACGUACCUUUCAGUGGGGGAUAACGUAGCGAAAGUUACGCUAAUACCGCAUAUUCUGUGCGCAGGAAAGCAGGGGAUCGCAAGACCUUGCGCUGAUUGAGCGGCCGAUAUCAGAUUAGCUAGUUGGUGAGGUAAAGGCUCACCAAGGCGACGAUCUGUAGCGGGUCUGAGAGGAUGAUCCGCCACACUGGAACUGAGACACGGUCCAGACUCCUACGGGAGGCAGCAGUGGGGAAUUUUGGACAAUGGGGGCAACCCUGAUCCAGCCAUGCCGCGUGACUGAUGAAGUCUUUCGAGAUGUAAAGGUCUUUUGUUGGGGACGAAGGAAGUGACGGUACCCGACGAAUAAGCCCCGGCUAACUACGUG
rnacentral:rRNA from 1 species